GACGACGUCGCUGAUAACAGUGGCCUUCAGAUGGCUUUCACAGCAUAUAUCAACGUACUUCAAGAAGAAUGUGCGGGGAUAGACACUCGUCUAGCAGGUCUAGAGAACAUCACCGGAAUACAGCUGUUCUUCAUUUCGAAUGCUAGGACUAUGUGCAGAAUAGCAGACCACGAAACUAUCA
rnacentral:lncRNA from 1 species